rnacentral:lncRNA from 1 species
CGGCGUCUCUGUCAACAUAUUUGCUGUUAUUCAUUAACAUAAUUUAUAUAUAUUUCUCAGUUCAAAUUGUCCUACAUCACCUCAAAGUUAUAUAGAUAGAUGUUAGUUUGUCCCUAAAGAUGUAGCCUAGUGUUAUAGGUUGGAACGCUGAAGGAACGAGGUCUAGGGUUCAAUCCCUGCUGUUAACAAUUUCCCCUCGUCCUAACAAUUAACCACUUUUUCCCUAUGUUGGUCCAUUAGGAGCAGCGUAGAACUUGCAAAAAGGGAACAAGAAAGAAUACUACGAAACAUUUUCCCACUGUAAUGCAUAAUUUUUCGUCACGGUUAUCGCAGAUUGGCUGGAAUUACCCGCCGCUUUGAUUCUUCUUAUUGUUGUUGCUCCCGAUCUAUUUGCAAACACCUUUAGAAGUGAUGCAGUUGGCGGCGUGGUAGUAUGCCUUAUCAUUGCAUGUUAUUUGCUGCAAGAACAUAUUCGGGCAUCCGGUGGCUUUAGAGAUUCAUUCACAAAAGCUUAUGGCAUGUCAAAUACAAUUGGCAUAAUUCUUCUGCUAAUCUACCCCAUCUGGACAUUGGUUCUCUAUAUUACCACAUAGGCAUAAACAUAGGGUGGAGUUUGUAUUCGGCUGAUUUAAGUGUAAUAAUUUGGCUUCUAUGUUGUUCAUUUGAUCGAAACCGAUAUCUAGGAACUUACACAUGUGCCUAUAGUUGGUAUGUGUAUAAAUAUGAAGUGAAUCAUUAGUGGAAGACUUUUUAGCUUCAACAAUCCUUAAAAAUAUGAUUAGCAAUGCUGUAUUUUUGUAUCUUGUGUAUUCACAAACUGAUUAUUGUACUUGGAAAUCAUAAUUUGGUUAGCCUGUGGAUCAUAUAUCAUUGUGUUUCUUGAAGUGCAGACCUUGCUACUUCAGUUGGAGAAAAUUUUAACAUUUAUAAUUUUGAAAAUAUUGUUAUAAGUAAUCAUUCUUACAAGAAUUAUGCUAGAAGACUUGAUUUUCUGCGCGUCGAGUUACAUGUGGAUGCAGCGGUGGUGGUCAGGAUUCUCCAGAUGGAAGGUCUCUAGUGAUGAAGAUUCGAAGGAUGUUGGAUAUGGAUUGGGAAGUGAUUGUUCAUCAUACUUAUCGGGAGGUAAAUCAAUGUGCAGAUGCAUUAACAAAUCUCAUAGGUUCCUUGGAUUCCAAUCUUGUGUUGUUUGAUGCGUGUCUGCCGCAGUUUAGUUAUUAGUUGGCCACGGAUGAUUUGGGGAUUAUCAUUCCUCGUUUAGUCCCUUUGUAGUUUCUUUCUUGAGCUUCGACCCUCUUUGUAAUAUAAAAAAAAAAAGAAUUAUAUCCUCUAAAAAACUGUCGAAUAUAAACAUAAACACUUAUGUUUAGUAAGGAGAGUGUUACAUUAUGUGGGUUUGGUUUGCAUUGGAAUUGAGCAAGUUCGAUGCUAAGGAACAAGACCACUAAUUCUUCAAGCCUCUCUCUUAACUUCUUUAUCCUCUCAUUCAAAAAAUAUAAUUUCAACUUAAUAUUAUGCAAAUUACUUUCAAGUCGUUUUAUUAUCUUUUAUAUUUAUGCUAAAUAGUUAAUAAAUAUUUAAUAAAAAUAAUUUCGUAUAAUAAUUAUAUUAUAUUUUAUAAGUAUGAAUUUUUCAUACCUGCAUACAAAAGUGAUAAUGUCCCUCUUAGUUGAAUUUUCUCUAUAUUUAAGAAUAAAUAAUCUAAUCACCGCAAAUAUAGUAGCUCAGUUGACAGAGAUAUUAUAUGAAGAAGGGGUUUAAACCCCAAAUUUUCCACUUAUCCAUUUUAAAAUGGUGAAAUUCUAUCUAUUAAACAACUUGACAGGAAAAAAAAAUUGAAUCACUAACAACAUGCUCACCAUAUCUUAAUAUAUUUUUUUGAGACCUAAAUCUAUUACUUGAAUUAAUCUAUCGUUGACGAGCUCUAAUAUUUUACAUUGAGAUGAUAGAUCUAAAAAUGUUUAUAACAUCAAACAUGAUUAAUUGGGCAUUUUUUUUCUUCUUAUUUUUGAAUUCAAAUAUAAUUUUACAGAUAAACGUUUGAUCAACAAUAUUAUAAAUCAAAUAACUGAUCAAUUUUAAUUCAGAUCAAAAUUUGAAUAAAACAUCUACCCUAGUUUUAAAAGCGAAUUUGAACUAACAACUCAACAAUAAUCAUCCACGUAAAGAAUUGUUAAACUGAGUUUAAUAAGAAUAAAAUAAUUAUCCAAUGUUUUAUGACUUAAUAAUCAAUUUAUAUAUAAAAAAAAAAAAAAAAAAAAAAACUUGAUUGACUUUAACUUUAUUUUGAUAUAGAGAGAGUACAAUUGGAACUUCUAGUGGAAGUGGUAAGUAUCAUUGUCCUACACGAGUUCACAGUACAGAACAGCACACCAUGUCAUCAUCCUACUUGCUGACUAAAAGUCAAAUUACUUCUGCUCUUACUGACCUUGCUGUGGCUGCUAAUAACCUCGCCCACCAUGUCUCAGGUUCUGGAUUCUCCGUCCUCCAAUUCAUUGCUUAUAUUGUUGCUAUGUAUGUAAUCUAACCUCUUCCUUUAAUUUCUCUUCAAAUCCAUUACUUAUAUUUCUUUCAUUUUAUUCAUCACUUCUUGUCUUAGAUAUGCAACUUAUUGUGUUGCUUUUAUUCUUUUGUUUUUAUUAGGUUUAGUUUAGUGUGUUAAAGAAUCUCUUAGAAUUUCACGAAAACAGCUUGUGAGCUGAGGGCUGUCCCCACACUUAUUCAGGCCAUAUCACUUCCAAUGUGGGACACCCCCCUCAUGUCCAGAACUGGACAUAUGGAGCCUGACCAGAGUGGCCCGAUAGGGGUAACCUAAAAUCAGGUGGCCCAACUGAUCUUGGAUAGACUUUGAUACUUUCUAGAAUUUGUCGUUGGGCCUAAACUGUAUGUGCUCAAUGUUGUCAAAAUCCCGACUUAAAUCCUACAAUCUAGGAUUUUGCGACUUUCUUCAGCUUCAACGACUCAAAUCCAUAGUAAAAUCAUAAAAUAAUCAAAAUCCAUCGAUUUUGAUUGCGAUUUUACGAUUUCUUAUAAACUAAGUCAUUUACGACUAUAUACCAUAUAUAACAUAUUUAAUAUUAUAUUUUUUGGUAAAAUCUAUCGAUUUUGAUUGCGAUUUUACAAUUUCUUAUCUACAGAAGUAGUUGAGUAAAAUCCUUUGAUUUUGGUUGCGAUUUUACAAUUGUCGAUUUUGCUCUUCUCUUUUGACCUGAAGCAAAAUCCCAAUUUUGACAACCUUGCUCUGAACCGUACUGCUAUACUCAUUGCACUUUCAGCUUCAAUUUCUCUGCUCUUAUCAGUGAAUAUGAGUCAUAUUAAACACACUUCAAGUUUAGUCCGUGUUGAGUUAAGCUUUCCUUUGUCUUCUAAAGCUAUAUGUAAAUUUGAUGUGUGUUUAGAUUAAAUUUGCCACAAAGUGUUUUGCCGAAGUGGGAGUUUAUCCAUGUUAUUGAUGCCUUGAUGGUAAUUUUUAUUUAUGAAUUGCAGUUAUCUGUUGAGUUUGGAUCGUACAAACUGGGAGACCAACACUUUCACAUCACUACUCGUUCCAUACAUUUUUUUCAGCCUGCCUUCAUGGAUUUUCGGUGUCUUCAGGUGAUUAGCUCUUCAUGCUUUAGUGUUAUCAACUUCUUACCCUUCACUUUAAUCCAAUACCAAAUUUUGUGUUUGUUAUUUCGUUUUCAUGAUACUUAAUUUCAUCGCUUCACAGGGCAGAGAUUGGGAGAUGGAUUGCUCUCAUUGCUGUUGUAUUACGACUUUUUGUUUCAAGGCGCUUCCCUGGUAUGUUCAAAUUUCAGUGACAUCACUCUUGUUUAUUAGAUGCACAUUAUAAGAGUGUCUCUGUCAACAUAUUAGCUGUUAUUCAUUGACAUAAUUUAUAUUUAUAUAUAUAUACUUGUCAGUUCAAACUGUCCCGCAUCACCUCAAAAUUAUAUAGAUAGGUGUUAGUUUGUCCUUGAAUGGGUUGGAACGCUGAAGGAAUACUAAGGAGGUCUAGGGUUCAAUCCCUGCUGUUAACAAUUUCCUUCCCCAAGCCCUAACAAACUAACCACUUUUCCCCUAUGUGGUUAUGUUAUGAUUGUUGGAUACUGCAGAUACACGUUUUGUGUUCCCCUAGUCCAUUAGGAGCAGCCUAGAACUUGCAAAAAGGGAAAAAGAAAGAAUACUGCGAAAUAUUUUCCCAAUAUAAUGCAUAAUUAUUUGUUACAUUUAUCGCAGAUCGGCUGGAAUUACCCGCUGCUUUGAUUCUUCUUAUUGUUGUUGCUCCCGAUCUAUUUGCAAACACCUUUAGAAGCGAUGAAGUUGGCUUGGUAGUAUGCCUUGUCAUUGCAUGUUAUUUGCUACAAGAACAAAUUCGGGCAUCUGGUGGUUUUAGAGAUUCUUUAACAAAAGCUCAUGGAAUAUCAAAUACAAUUGGCAUAAUUCUUCUGUUU